rnacentral:rRNA from 1 species
UACGAAGGGGGCUAGCGUUGUUCGGAAUUACUGGGCGUAAAGCGCAUGUAGGCGGCGAUUCAAGUCGGGGGUGAAAUCCCAGGGCUCAACCCUGGAACUGCCUUCGAUACUGUAUUGCUAGAGUAUGGAAGAGGUUGGUGGAACUGCGAGUGCAGAGGUGAAAUUCGUAGAUAUUCGCAAGAACACCAGUGGCGAAGGCGGCCAACUGGUCCAUCACUGACGCUGAGAUGCGAAAGCGUGGGGAGCAAACAGG